rnacentral:rRNA from 1 species
UACGUAGGGAGCGAGCGUUGUUCGGAAUUACUGGGCGUAAAGCGCGUGUAGGCGGUCCGGUAAGUCCGCUGUGAAAGUCGGGGGCUUAACCCUCGGAUGCCGGUGGAUACUGUCGGGCUUGAGUACGGAAGAGGCGAGUGGAAUUCCUGGUGUAGCGGUGAAAUGCGCAGAUAUCAGGAGGAACACCAAUUGCGAAGGCAGCUCGCUGGGACGUUACUGACGCUGAGACGCGAAAGCGUGGGGAGCAAACAGG